UUCUCUAAAGGGAAUGACAAUAGUAAUAAUAUUGCAAUUAGUUAGAUUGUCUUCCCCCACUAAUCAAGGUAUUUGCUCAGAAUAAGUUUAGACAGGUAUUUGUUAAAUUAAAAUAUUUAUGUUCAAAAGAUGGAUGAACAUUUUUUGAUGCCCAGUUGUUGUUGUUUUUUAAAUGUGGCUUUAUUUCCUUUCUUAUGGGUCAAGGUUUCAAAAAGUAGAAAAGAACGUGACUAAUCUGGGCUUUUUGGGAAGUCCUCUAACAUUCACCCCUGAGAGGCAGAAAAUGGCACGGCACUGAAAUUCAAAACGUACAACAACAUAGACCCUGGGAAUCCUCCUCCUGAACCUGGAUCAAAAGAUGGAGAAACUGAGUCAUGCAUUGGUCUGCAUACAUGAGAUAGAAGAUAACAGAGGGAAGUAAGAAAACCACUGGAUUUGGAGUCCAAGGAACUGUAUUUGAAUGACUUCUACUACUUAAUGCCUGUGUGUCUAGGCAAGUUGGUUCUCUUCUCUGAGCUUCUUCUAUUUCCUCCUGUCCCUAAUAAUGGAGUAC